UGUGUGAGGAAGGCAUUGGGGCUGUAAAGCACUUUUAUCGGGAGCGGAUCGCGCCAGAAUAAUCUUCUGGUGAAUUGUCGGUACCAGAGGAAUUAACACGGGCUAAGUCAGUGCCAGCAGUCGCUGUAAUACGGAGGGUGCAAGUGUUAAUUAAAAUUACUGGGCGUAAAGCUCGCGUGGGUGGUAAUUUAAGUGUGAUGUGAAAUCGGUGGGCUCAACUUCGGAAGGGCAAUGGAUAAUGGCUGGCGGGAGUGCGGUAGAGGAAGAUAGAAUUACCGAUGUAGCGGUGAAAUGCGUAGAUAUGGGGAGGCACAUCAGUGGAGAAGGCGACCCUCUGGACCAGCACAGACGUAGAUACACGAAAGCUUGGGGAGCAAACAGGAUUAAAUACCAUGGUAGUCC
rnacentral:rRNA from 1 species